GCCCGUUUGGCGCAAUGGUAGCGCGUCGCCCUCCUAUUGGAAACAGGCGAAGGCUGCGGGUUCGAUCCCCGUGAUGGGUG